rnacentral:rRNA from 1 species
UGCGUAGGCGGUGGCGUAAGUCAGUUGUGAAAUUCCCCGGCUUAACCGGCGGGACUGCGAUUGAUACUGCGUCACUUGAAUCAGGAUGAGGUAGGCGGAAUGUGGCAUGUAGCGGUGAAAUGCUUAGAUAUGCCAUAGAACACCGAUUGCGAAGGCAGCUUGCUGGACCUGUAUUGACGCUGAGGCACGAAAGCGUGGGGAGCAAACAGGAUUAGAUACCCUGGUAGUCCACGCCCUAAACGAUGUUUACUUGCUGUGCGGUCUUCGGAUUGCGUGGCGAAGCGAAAGCGAUAAGUAAACCACCUGGGGAGUACGCCGGCAACGGUGAA